GACAGAGGGGGCAAGCGUUGCUCGGAAUUACUGGGCGUAAAGGGCGCGUAGGCGGUCUGGCAAGUCGGUCGUGAAAUCCCUCGGCUCAACCGAGGAACGUCGAUCGAUACUGCUGUUCUUGAGGAUUGCAGAGGAGACUGGAAUUCCCGGUGUAGCGGUGAAAUGUGUAGAGAUCGGGAGGAACACCGGUGGCGAAGGCGGGUCUCUGGGCAAUUCCUGACGCUGAGGCGCGAAAGCGUGGGGAGCAAACGGG
rnacentral:rRNA from 1 species